UACGUAGGGGGCUAGCGUUGUCCGGAAUCAUUGGGCGUAAAGAGCGUGUGAGCGGCCCGGUAAGUCCGCUGUAAAAGUCAAAGGCUCAACCUUUGAAUGUCAGUGGAUACUGCCGGGCUAGAGUCCGGAAGAGGCGAGUGGAACUCCUGGUGUAGCGGUGGAAUGCGCAGAUAUCAGGAAGAACACCAACGGCGAAGGCAGCUCGCUGGGACGGUACUGACGCUGAGACGCGAAAGCGUGGGGAGCGAACAGG
rnacentral:rRNA from 1 species